UAUGAAACCCAAAAUAUUUGCUGCCU
rnacentral:piRNA from 1 species